CGGGGGGCUGCAGUGGGGAAUAUUGCACAAUGGGCGAAAGCCUGAUGCAGCGACGCCGCGUGAGGGAUGACGGCCUUCGGGUUGUAAACCUCUUUCAGCAGGGAAGCGGUACCUGCAGAAGAAGCACCGGCUAACUACGUGCCAGCAGCCGCGGUAAUACGUAGGGUGCGAGCGUUGUCCGGAUUUAUUGGGCGUAAAGAGCUCGUAGGCGGCUUGUCGCGUCGGAUGUGAAAGCCCGGGGCUUAACUCCGGGUCUGCAUUCGAUACGGGCAGGCUAGAGUGUGGUAGGGGAGAUCGGAAUUCCUGGUGUAGCGGUGAAAUGCGCAGAUAUCAGGAGGAACACCGGUGGCGAAGGCGGAUCUCUGGGCCAUACUGACGCUGAGGAGCGAAAGCGUGGGGAGCGAACAGGAUUAGAUACCCUUGUAGUC
rnacentral:rRNA from 1 species